AAGGAUCAUUAAAAAUUUGCUAAUGUCGAGGCUAACCCCUCGUGCAUUUUCAAACCCACUUGACCAACCUAAAAAACCAUUCAGCUUCGGCAGCAGGUCGGGCGUCACUGCCCGCACUGUCAGCCUGCCGUUAGCGCCUUACAACCAAACUUUUUUGAACAAAACUUUGUCUGACAACCAAUCAUUUUCGAAUGAAAAUUAAAACUUUCAACAACGGAUCUCUUGGUUCCC
rnacentral:misc_RNA from 1 species